AUUUCCCUACGGGGGGCAGCAGUGGGGAAUAUUGCACAAUGGGGGAAACCCUGAUGCAGCAACGCCGCGUGAAGGAAGACGGUUUUCGGAUUGUAAACUUCUGUUCUUAGUGAAGAAUAAUGACGGUAGCUAAGGAGCAAGCCACGGCUAACUACGUGCCAGCAGCCGCGGUAAUACGUAGGUGGCAAGCGUUGUCCGGAAUUACUGGGUGUAAAGGGAGCGCAGGCGGGAAGCCAAGUCAGCUGUGAAAACUACGGGCUUAACUUGGAGACUGCAGUUGCAACUGGUUUUUUUGAGUGAA
rnacentral:rRNA from 1 species